rnacentral:rRNA from 1 species
AUUGAACGCUGGCGGCAUGCCUUACACAUGCAAGUCGAACGGUAACAGGUCUUCGGAUGCUGACGAGUGGCGAACGGGUGAGUAAUACAUCGGAACGUGCCUAGUAGUGGGGGAUAACUACUCGAAAGAGUGGCUAAUACCGCCUGAGAUCUACGGAUGAAAGCAGGGGAUCGCAAGACCUUGUGCUACCAGAGCGGACGAUGGCAGAAUAGGUAGUUGGUGGGAUAAAAGCUUACCAAGCCGACGGCUUGUAGCUGGUCUGAGAGGACGAUCAGCCACACUGGGACUGAGACACGGGCCAGACUCCUACGGGAGGCAGCAGUGGGGAAUUUUGGACAAUGGGCGCAAGCCUGAUCCAGCAAUGCCGCGUGCAGGAUGAAGGCCUUCGGGUUGUAAACUGCUUUUGUACGGAACGAAAAGCCCCGGGUUAAUACCCUGGGGUCAUGACGGUACCGUAAGAAUAAGCACCGGCUAACUACGUGCCAGCCGCCGCAGUAA